UCUCCGUUGGUGAACCAGCGGAGGGAUCAUUACCGAGUUUACAACUCCCAAACCCCUGUGAACAUACCACUUGUUGCCUCGGCGGAUCAGCCCGCUCCCGGUAAAACGGGACGGCCCGCCAGAGGACCCCUAAACUCUGUUUCUAUAUGUAACUUCUGAGUAAAACCAUAAAUAAAUCAAAACUUUCAACAACGGAUCUCUUGGUUCUGGCAUCGAUGAAGAACGCAGCAAAAUGCGAUAAGUAAUGUGAAUUGCAGAAUUCAGUGAAUCAUCGAAUCUUUGAACGCACAUUGCGCCCGCCAGUAUUCUGGCGGGCAUGCCUGUUCGAGCGUCAUUUCAACCCUCAAGCCCUCGGGUUUGGUGUUGGGGAUCGGCGAGCCCUUGCGGCAAGCCGGCCCCGAAAUCUAGUGGCGGUCUCGCUGCAGCCUCCAUUGCGUAGUAGUAAAACCCUCGCAACUGGAACGCGGCGCGGCCAAGCCGUUAAACCCCCAACUUCUGAAUGUUGACCUCGGAUCAGGUAGGAAUACCCGCUGAACUUAAGCA
rnacentral:rRNA from 1 species